AGAGUUUGAUCAUGGCUCAGAAUCAACGCUGGCGGCGCGCCUAACACAUGCAAGUCGAACGAGAAAGCAGGAGCAAUCUUGUGAGUAAAGUGGCGUACGGGUGAGUAACACGUGGAUCAUCUACCCUCUUGUGGGGGAUAACCCUGGGAAACCGGGGCUAAUACCGCAUAAGUCCGAGAGGAGAAAGCAGCAAUGCGCAGGAGGAGGAGUCCGCGGCCGAUUAGCUAGUUGGUAGGGUAAAAGCCUACCAAGGCUACGAUCGGUAGCCGGCCUGAGAGGGCACACGGCCACACUGGCACUGAAACACGGGCCAGACUCCUACGGGAGGCAGCAGUGGGGAAUCUUGCACAAUGGGGGCAACCCUGAUGCAGCGACGCCGCGUGAGCGAUGAAGCCCUUCGGGGUGUAAAGCUCUUUCGGCAGGGAAGAUUAUGACGGUACCCGCAGAAGCAGCUGCGGCUAACUACGUGCCAGCAGCCGCGGUAAUACGUAGGCAGCAAGCGUUGUUCGGAGUUACUGGGCGUAAAGGGUGUGUAGGCGGUUUUCUAAGUCUGGUGUGAAAUCUCCCGGCUCAACUGGGAGGGUGCGCCGAAAACUGGAAGGCUAGAGUGCGGGAUGGGAGAGUGGAAUUCCUGGUGUAGCGGUGAAAUGCGUAGAUAUCAGGAGGAACACCGGUGGUGUAGACGGCUCUCUGGACCAUUACUGACGCUGAGACACGAAAGCGUGGGUAGCAAACAGGAUUAGAUACCCUAGUAGUCC
rnacentral:rRNA from 1 species